rnacentral:rRNA from 1 species
AUGCUAUUUACUCUCGACCUCGCCUCGCUGGACAGCGUCCGACAGUUCGUCGACGCGUUCCGCCGUGCCGACAUGCCGCUGGACGUGCUCGUGUGCAACGCCGCCAUCUACCGCCCCACGGCGCGCACGCCGACAUUCACCGCCGACGGGCACGAGAUGAGCGUGGGCGUGAACCACCUCAGCCACUUCCUGCUCGCCCGCCUCCUCAUGGAGGACCUUCAGAAGUCCGACUACCCGUCCCGCCGCAUGGUCAUCGUCGGCUCCAUCACCGGCAACGGCAACACGCAGGCGGGCAACGUGCCGCCCAAGGCCAGCCUCGGUGACCUCCGCGGGCUCGCCGGCGGCCUCAGCGGUGCCAAGGUGUGCAACAUGCUGACCAUGCAGGAGUUCCACCAGCGGUACCACAAGGAGACCGGCAUCACCUUCUCCUCGCUCUACCCCGGCUGCAUCGCCACCACGGGGCUGUUCCGGGAGCACAUCCCGCUGUUCCGCACGCUCUUCCCGCCGUUCCAGAAGUUCAUCACGAUGAGGUUCGUCUGGGAGGCGGAGUCCGGCAAGAGGCUGGCGCAGGUGGUGGCGGAGCCCAGCCUGACCAAGUCCGGCGUGUACUGGAGCUGGAACAAGGACUCGGCAUCCUUCGAGAACCAGCUCUCCCAGGAGGCCAGCGACCCCGAGAAGGCCCGCAAGGUCUGGGAGCUCAGCGAGAAGCUCGUCGGACUCGCCUGA